UAUAUAAACCACGAAAUAAAAUUAAAAUAUCCAAAUAGCAUUAUCCAUAUACAAAAAUAAAAUAUGAAUACAUUGUUUGAUCAACAAUUCAAAAGUCAAAAUAGAUGAGUUUGCAUACAAAAUAUUCUAAACUAAAAUAUCCGUGAACAUGAUAAUAGAAAGCCUAACAACGAUCAACAACACUCAAGUAAGGUCUUCGUCACUGCUUUCAUCCGCAAUCGAUGCACCUACAAAAUCAAAAAUAAUUAAAGAAUUUUUUUUAAGAUAAUUGAAUCAUAAAGUAAUUGAAUGACCAAUUUGAUAACUUGAAAUUUUUUUGUCUAAAUUCUUAAAUUUUUCGGCAGAGUUUCCUUUGUAAAUACGACUAUCCCAAAAUUUUCAACCUGCUCAAAACAUCAUUCGUAAAUACGACUAUUCCAAAACUUUCAACCUGCUCAAAACAUGAUACAAUUUCUAUACAGAACCUAAGAUCCUUCCACAAAUCAGAAGUAUAUGCUAAAAUGCUUAUUAUGGACCUAAAAUGCUUCCACAAAUCUCGUUUCAUUGGCAAAAAGAAUUCUAUGUUGUCAUAAUGCCCUUUCAUCCAUUAAUUGAGUUUGAUAUAAGCUGCAAUCACCCAAAACAAGUAAACUUAAAACAAAUAAAAGGAUAGUGAUAGGUUUAGGCCUUUGCCCUUCUACUCCCAAUGGAAUCUUUGAACAAUAAUAAACCAAUAAGCAUCCAAGAAAGCAAAUAUAGUUAUUUACUUUCUUUAUAUUCAUCUCUCAUCUUAUUAAAGGAAUCUCUUUACAAUUGAAAAAUACAUAUGUGACUGCCCUUGCAUGUGUAAAUAGAGCUAUCAAGGUCUCUCAACUUUCGCUUUCCCUCUCUUACUCAUUUUUUCUUAGGAAAAGAACAAUACCACUUUAUUUCAUUAUCCUGAAAAAGACACCUUAAAUAAAAGGUAGAGUUGUAUCAUUCGAGAAAAACUUUAAUUCUUUAAAAGCCACAUAUUCUCAAAAUUAUAUGAAUUUCAUUGUUGUGAAAUUUAACGAUCACCAAAACCAUCACAUAAACAGCUACAUAAGGAAAAACUUAUCGAUAGAAAAUAUUUUAACAAAAAUAUUCUUAAGGUUCAGGACAAAUAUAGCAUUAAUAUAUCGGGUGCAGUGUCGUACUUACGGAACUAACAUAACAACCAAAUAUUUACUUCGUUAAAGAAGGAAUUUUCUCUGUACAAUUUUCUUUGUGCUAUGAUAGAAGUUUUUGAAAAAUAAGUACCUAUACUAGUUUCCUAUAGAUUUCUGAAGGUGGUCAACUUCGAUUCAAGGUGAGAACUGAAUCAAAGGCAUAUCGUGAAAUUAUAAGAAGGGUCCAACCAUCAACCAUCAACAUUGAGCUGCUUAUCUCUUGAUUAUUGAUAUGACCAAAUUCUCAAUCUUAGGGAACACACUAUAGUGUUGAGAGAUGUUAUUUUGCCUUCAGCAAAAUAAUUCAGAAGCAGAACCAAAAGCAACAAACUUGAAGAAGACAAUACUCUUGAAAUUUAUCAUCUAAAGCCUACACACAAAGGAAAGAAAAUAAAUUUCUCUGCUAUAGCUUACCUCAACGGACCUAGAAGCACGCUCGAUUAAGGUGUGGCCAGACGAGAAAACUCGCCGGAGAUUGGGUUUGACAGAGGGAUUGGGGUUGGAAACUAUUAGGGAUUGAGUGUUGGCUUUCGAUAUUCUCUAAGUGAGUAUUCAGUAAUAAGUGAUCACUUACAUUUUCACAUAUUCUGAAUAAAGACCAAUUAUUAGGAAUAAAAAAUUAAAAAUAUUAAUUAAAAAAGAUUGGACUGAAAGAUGUAGUGCGGGUUUAGAAAAUUAAAGAAGGAAAAAUUGGGGGGAAACCACAACCGUUCCCACAGUGUUUUAUCCUAAGAAAUGGUCACAAUAGACAAAUCUAUUGAGACGGUUUAAUAUAUCGUCCCUAUAGAGUAAUC
rnacentral:lncRNA from 1 species